rnacentral:rRNA from 1 species
GGGAAUCUUCGGCAAUGGGCGAAAGCCUGACCGAGCAACGCCGCGUGAAUGAAGAAGGCCUUCGGGUUGUAAAAUUCUGUUAUAAGGGAAGAAAGGUGAUAGGAGGAAAUGACUAUCAAUUGACGGUACCUUAUGAGAAAGCCACGGCUAACUACGUGCCAGCAGCCGCGGUAAUACGUAGGUGGCAAGCGUUAUCCGGAUUUAUUGGGCGUAAAGGGAACGCAGGCGGUCUUUUAAGUCUGAUGUGAAAGCCUUCGGCUUAACCGGAGUAGUGCAUUGGAAACUGGGAGACUUGAGUGCAGAAGAGGAGAGUGGAAUUCCUAGUGUAGCGGUGAAAUGCGUAGAUAUUAGGAGGAACACCAGUUGCGAAGGCGGCUCUCUGGACUGUAACUGACACUGAGGCACGAAAGCGUGGGGAGCA